rnacentral:rRNA from 1 species
GUGAACGCUGGCGGCAGGCCUAACACAUGCAAGUCGAACGGCAGCACCAGAGAGCUUGCUCUCUGGGUGGCGAGUGGCGGACGGGUGAGGAAUGCAUCGGAAUCUGCCCAUUUGUGGGGGAUAACCUCGGGAAACCGGGACUAAUACCGCAUACGACCUACGGGUGAAAGCAGGGGAUCUUCGGACCUUGCGCAGAUGGAUGAGCCGAUGCCGGAUUAGCUAGUUGGGGGGGUAAAGGCCCACCAAGGCGACGAUCCGUAGCUGGUCUGAGAGGAUGAUCAGCCACACUGGGACUGAGACACGGCCCAGACUCCUACGGGAGGCAGCAGUGGGGAAUAUUGGACAAUGGGCGCAAGCCUGAUCCAGCCAUGCCGCGUGUGUGAAGAAGGCCUUCGGGUUGUAAAGCACUUUUGUUGGGAAAGAAAAGCAGCCGGUUAAUACCCGGUUGUCAUGACGGUACCCAAAGAAUAAGCACCGGCUAACUUCGUG